rnacentral:snoRNA from 1 species
AUCCCAUGAUAAGUAUAGGCGGCCACGUACUCCUGCAGACAUUCCCAUGCUUCCGGAAUAGACUCAUCCCUUGUAUGCUGGAAACUAGAAAUCCUUCCAUGAAGGGC